rnacentral:rRNA from 1 species
ACACUAUCAUUAACUGAAUCCAUAGGUUAAUGAGGCGAACCGGGGGAACUGAAACAUCUAAGUACCCCGAGGAAAAGAAAUCAACCGAGAUUCCCCCAGUAGCGGCGAGCGAACGGGGAGCAGCCCAGAGCCUGAAUCAGUAUGUGUGUUAGUGGAAGCGUCUGGAAAGGCGCGCGAUACAGGGUGACAGCCCCGUACACAAAAAUGCACAUGCUGUGAGCUCGAUGAGUAGGGCGGGACACGUGGUAUCCUGUCUGAAUAUGGGGGGACCAUCCUCCAAGGCUAAAUACUCCUGACUGACCGAUAGUGAACCAGUACCGUGAGGGAAAGGCGAAAAGAACCCCGGCGAGGGGAGUGAAAAAGAACCUGAAACCGUGU